rnacentral:rRNA from 1 species
AACGAACGCUGGCGGCAUGCCUAACACAUGCAAGUCGAACGAGACCUUCGGGUCUAGUGGCGCACGGGGGCGUAACGCGUGGGAAGCUGCCCUUAGGUUCGGAAUAACUCCCCGAAAGGGGUGCUAAUACAGGAUAAUGUAAUCGGGGCAAAGAUUUAUCGCCUUUGGAUGGGCGCGCGUUGGAUUAGCUGGUUGGUAGGGUAAAAGCCUACCAAGGCGACGAUCCAUAGCUAGUCUGAGAGGAAGAUCAGCCAGGCUGUGACUGAGACACGGCCCAGACUCCUGCGGGAGGCAGCAGUGGGGAAGAUUGGACAAUGGGCGAAUGCCUGAUCCAGCAAUGCCGCGUGAGUGAUGAAGGCCUGAGGGUUGUAAAGCUCGUUUGCCCGGGAUGAUAAUGACAGUACCGGGAGAAUAAGCUCCGGCUUACUCCGUG